CUAGCAUUCCUUUUCACUGUCAAUAGACCCCCUGCAAGGCUGCAACCACCCAUGUGGCAAAAGUAGGAACCAUUUCAAAAUUUUUUCCCUAAAUCUGUAGGCCCAGAAUUCAUUCUCCAGAUUUCUAUUUUCAGCAUCAAUUUGAAAAUCACCAUUUUGGAAUGUGGUGAGGCUGGAUCAUGCCAUUGAAAAAACCACAUC
rnacentral:lncRNA from 1 species